rnacentral:rRNA from 1 species
GAUGAACGCUGGCGGCGUGCCUAAUACAUGCAAGUCGAGCGAACGGACGAGAAGCUUGCUUCUCUGAUGUUAGCGGCGGACGGGUGAGUAACACGUGGAUAACCUACCUAUAGGACUGGGAUAACUUCGGGAAACCGGAGCUAAUACCGGAUAAUAUUUUGAACCGCAUGGUUCAAAAGUAAAAGACGGUCUUGCUGUCACUUAUAGAUGGAUCCGCGCUGCAUUAGCUAGUUGGUAAGGUAACGGCUUACCAAGGCAACGAUGCAUAGCCGACCUGAGAGGGUGAUCGGCCACACUGGAACUGAGACACGGUCCAGACUCCUACGGGAGGCAGCAGUAGGGAAUCUUCCGCAAUGGGCGAAAGCCUGACGGAGCAACGCCGCGUGAGUGAUGAAGGUCUUCGGAUCGUAAAACUCUGUUAUUAGGGAAGAAUAUAUGUGUAAGUAACUGUGCACAUCUUGACGGUACCUAAUCAGAAAGCCACGGCUAACUACGUGCCAGCAGCCGCGGUAAUACGUAGGUGGCAAGCGUUAUCCGGAAUUAUUGGGCGUAAAGCGCGCGUAGGCGGUUUUUUAAGUCUGAUGUGAAAGCCCACGGCUCAACCGUGGAGGGUCAUUGGAAACUGGAAAACUUGAGUGCAGAAGAGGAAAGUGGAAUUCCAUGUGUAGCGGUGAAAUGCGCAGAGAUAUGGAGGAACACCAGUGGCGAAGGCGACUUUCUGGUCUGUAACUGACGCUGAUGUGCGAAAGCGUGGGGAUCAAACAGGAUUAGAUACCCUGGUAGUCCACGCCGUAAACGAUGAGUGCUAAGUGUUAGGGGGUUUCCGCCCCUUAGUGCUGCAGCUAACGCAUUAAGCACUCCGCCUGGGGAGUACGACCGCAAGGUUGAAACUCAAAGGAAUUGACGGGGACCCGCACAAGCGGUGGAGCAUGUGGUUUAAUUCGAAGCAACGCGAAGAACCUUACCAAAUCUUGACAUCCUUUGACAACUCUAGAGAUAGAGCCUUCCCCUUCGGGGGACAAAGUGACAGGUGGUGCAUGGUUGUCGUCAGCUCGUGUCGUGAGAUGUUGGGUUAAGUCCCGCAACGAGCGCAACCCUUAAGCUUAGUUGCCAUCAUUAAGUUGGGCACUCUAAGUUGACUGCCGGUGACAAACCGGAGGAAGGUGGGGAUGACGUCAAAUCAUCAUGCCCCUUAUGAUUUGGGCUACACACGUGCUACAAUGGACAAUACAAAGGGCAGCGAAACCGCGAGGUCAAGCAAAUCCCAUAAAGUUGUUCUCAGUUCGGAUUGUAGUCUGCAACUCGACUACAUGAAGCUGGAAUCGCUAGUAAUCGUAGAUCAGCAUGCUACGGUGAAUACGUUCCCGGGUCU